GAUGAAGAACGUAGCGAAAUGCGAUAAUUAAUGUGAAUUGCAGAAUUCAGUGAAUCAUCGAAUCUUUGAACGCACAUUGCGCCCGCCAGUAUUCUGGCGGGCAUGCCUGUUCGAGCGUCAUUUCAACCAUCAAGCCCCCGGGCUUGUGUUGGGGACCUGCGGCUGCCGCAGGCCCUGAAAAGCAGUGGCGGGCUCGCUGUCACACCGAGCGUAGUAGAUUUUAUCUCGCUCUGGGCGUGCUGCGGGUUCCGGCCGUUAAACCACCCUUUUAACCCAAGGUUGACCUCGGAUCAGGUAGGAAGACCCGCUGAACUUAAGCAUAUCAAUAAGCGGAGGA
rnacentral:misc_RNA from 1 species